rnacentral:rRNA from 1 species
GACAGAGGGUGCAAACGUUGUUCGGAAUUACUGGGCGUAAAGCGCGUGUAGGCGGCAAGCCAAGUCGGGUGUGAAAGCCCUGGGCUCAACCCAGGAAGUGCAUUCGAUACUGGCAAGCUAGAGUCCCGGAGAGGAUGGUGGAACUCUCGGUGUAGAGGUGAAAUUCGUAGAUAUCGAGAAGAACACCGGUGGCGAAGGCGGCCAUCUGGACGGUGACUGACGCUGAGACGCGAAAGCGUGGGGAGCAAACAGG